AAUGGGGGAAACCCUGACGCAGCAACGCCGCGUGUGGGAAGAAGGCCUUCGGGUCGUAAACACUUUGCACGGGACGAAAAAGGGAUAUCGAACAAAUAUCCCCGAUGACGGUACCGUGAGAAUAAGCCACGGCUAACUCUGUGCCAGCAGCCGCGGUAAGACAGAGGUGGCAAGCGUUGUUCGGAAUUACUGGGCGUAAAGAGUCUGUAGGUGGUUUGUCAAGUCUUUGGUGAAAGGCCGUAGCUUAACUAUGGGAAUGCCAAAGAGACUGGCAGGCUGGAGGCUGGGAGAGGGAAGCGGAAUUUCUGGUGUAGCGGUGAAAUGCGUAGAUAUCAGAAGGAAGGCCGGUGGCGAAGGCGGCUUCCUGGAACAGUCCUGACACUGAGAGACGAAAGCGUGGGGAGCAAACAGGAUUAGAUACCCUGGUAGUCCACGCCCUAAACGAUGGGUACUAAGUGUGGAGGGGUUAAACCCUCCGUGCCGCAGCAAACGCAGUAAGUAC
rnacentral:rRNA from 1 species